UAAUGGAUUGCUUCGAUGGUCACAUAAGA
rnacentral:sRNA from 1 species